CGCACCACCAACCGGAGGGCCGCAUCCAGGGUGGGGGUUGGAACUGCGACGCGCGCGCCCUCUCAUCGGUUGUGUACCUCUACAGUGCAUUCCUUCAAAUGUGUGAUUUUAUGCACGAAUUGAAGACAGUUAGAGGCAAGUAUGGGGUAGCCAAUUUGAAACAAGCGAUUACGUGCCUGCGGUGAAAGAAAAAUGCACUCAAACGCCUUCGCUCAUUUCGUGAUUGACGGAUCUGUUGCCCAAUCAUAAGCCGAGCUGCUGCCGUCAUUCCGUGCAUCGAUCCAAUCAAUGCAAGGAGAGGGCUCGGCCUGCAGCCGCCUGUUCAAGCCCCAUUGACACUGAAAGGAGGAACAGACUUCCCAAGUUUCCGAAGUUCACUCCAGGGAACACUUGUCUAUACGUGUUUGCAAAAUACACAGCAAAGCACUGCCAGACAAGAGAAGAGAGGUGAUAUCUGAUCAGAAUCCUAGAAGUCAAACCCAAGGCCUUGGUUCCUUGCAUGAAGUCCCACUUCCUCUCAACUUUACCAACUUUAAGCAGUACUUCCACAAAAUCAGAAGGAGAGGUGGAAUCGAUUGGAGUAAUAACUGAGAAGCCAGCAGACGCAAUGCUGAAGCAUGAGAGCAUCGCCACUGGAGAUAUGUCUAUGUGCGCCUCUGAAAUACUUUCCAAGCCACCAGAUGGACCACUUCCAUUACAAUGAAGGACUGGGUCACUUCCAGGCCGGAAAUAGAUUUCCAGCACCUGCAGUUCAUUUUCAGUGAUUUACAUGUCAAUCAUCUUAACGCUGCUGGUUGGAAAAAUAGCGCAAUCAUACUGAAGAAUAUAGAAGAAUAUUUAUUCCAUUUUUAAUAGUGACAAGCUUUACAAAGACACUCAUUCCUGAGAGAAAAACAAUGAAAUAACAUGAAUAUUGAAAAAUGUUUUAAUAACUUGAUUGUACAAAGUGUCAAUAAUAUUGGAAGCAAAACGAUAGAUUAAUGUUUCAGGUGAAUGUUUCUUUCAAGUAUCCAAUCUGAAAUGCUAACCUGUUUGCCUGUUUCAGGUAGAAAAUUGGCCUACUUUCUAAAUGUUUUGUGUUUAUGAACUGGAUUUCUUUUACAAAACAUACAUUAAUUAUUGCACAAAAGUACUGUACCACAUUGAAAAUUCAACUCCAUUUAACAAGGGAGAGAAUUAGAAAAGUUUAUCAUCUUCAGCAAUUUCAAAAACAGCCUAUAGUGGUUGGAGAAAUCCUCGAUGGCUGCCAAGUAGAUAUUAGGCUAAGCUCCAGAAUUAAUUAUGUUUCCAGUUUGAAGCCAAUCAACAUUUAACAUUUGGCUGAUUGCAGAACGUAAUACUGUAUUUUUCACUUGGUGACUUGCCCUUUUGCUACAUUCAUUGGAGCUAAGUCAUUCGAUGAAGUUUCAGAUUCGUAUGUGAUUUGUUACUUUGAAAAAGAAAGACUUGCAUUUCUAAGGUGCCCUUCACAACCCCACAGUGCCCUAAUGCAUUUUACGGCCAACAAAAUGCUUUUAAAAGGAUGCAUUUGGAAAGGUUAAAAUUAAAUUGUGCAAAGUAAGCUUCCACAGAUGGCAAUGUGAAAAUGAUUAAAGAAUUUGUUUUUAGGUGCUAGUUGUGAGAUAGCUGUUGGCCAGGCCAUUAUGGAGUCAUAGAGUCUUACAGAGCGGAAACAGACCCUUUGGUCCAACUAGUCCAUGCCGACCAAGUUUCCGGAACUAAAUUAGCCACACUUGCCUGCAUUUGGCCCAUAACCCUCUAAACCUUUCCUCUUCAUAACCUUGCCCAAAUAUCUUAUAAAUGUUAUAACUAUUUGCAUCUACCACUUCCACUGGCAGGUCACUCCACAUAUAAACCACUCUCUGUGUGGAAAAAGUUGCCCCAAUAUCCCUUUAAAAUCUUUAUCCUUUCACCCUAACAUUAUGCCCUCUAGUUUUGAAUGCCCCCACCCCAGGGAGAAGACCUUUGUUAUUCCCCCUAUCCAUGUACCAGAGAGAACUCCCCUGCAUUCUUCAAAAUAGAGUAUUGGGAUUCUUUAUAUUAAUCUGAGAGGGUAUUCUCCUUUAUACACUAUACCUCUGAAGAUGCAGCUCUCCUUCAGAAUUGCACAUGAGGACGAGUGAGAUUACGUGCCUCAGUUGCUGGAGUGGCAAUUUAUAUGCAUUUGGACCUACCAAUUCAAACUUAUGAAUGCUGCCACUGAGCAUUGGCAAUUGUGACUGUCAAUGUUUAAUUAGGUUUUUUGUGAAAUUGGAAGAAUACUCUUGCGAGCCACAAAAAUACAAUGUAGCUUUAAUUUUAACGAUAGGGUCGCGCUUCAGUAAAUGAUCUUGCGAUAUAAUGGAAUUUCACUGUUUGGUUUUGAAUGUAGCUUAUUUUUAGAUUUAGUUAGAUUAUAAUCUAACUCCUUGCUCUACCCACCUCAACUGUAGACCCACAGUAUAUAUUAAUGCUUGCAGGGGUUGGUUUAGUUCGUUGGCUGGAUGUCUGUUUUGCAAAGCAGUGCAAUACCAACAAGUUCGUUCAAUUCCUAUCACCGGCUGCAGUUACCAUGAAGGACUUCCCUUUCCAACCACUCCCCCACCUGAAGUAUGGUACCUUCAGGUUAAAUUGUCAACAAUUGUCAUUCUCUAAUGAGAGAGCAACCCUAUAGGCUGGUAAGACUAUGAUGACACAAACAAACUAUCGAUGCUUCUAUCAGAUGUAUACAAGACUCAACUUAUUAAAAUUAUAACACACAUAACAAUCAAUAUUAGUUUUCAGAAUAAACUACAAACUAAUGUAAAACAUUAUAAUGGAACAUAAGGUGUAAUUUGUGUUGAGUAGGAAUUAAUUUUAGUGUUUCCAUUGGACUGAUGAAAACAUAGAUGUAAAGGUUUUUCUGUUGUGAGGAAGUCUAAACCUAGAGCCCAUAGAUAAAAGAUAGUCCUCAAUACAUCCAUAAGAAAAUUCAAGUAAAACUUCUUUAUGCAAAGAGUGGCUAAAAUUUAGAGUCUACUAUAACAGGAAUUAGUUAAGACAAUUAGCAUAAAUUGUUUUAAGGGUAAGCUGAAUAAACAUACCAGUUGGGCUAAAAUGAGCUAUUUCCUUGCUGUAAAUUAUAUGCUUUGUGGAAAUUGAUUAGGUCAGCAGCUUGAAUAAAUAUAUGCAUAGAGAAUAACCGAAGGCAGGAGCUACUACACAGGGAAUCAUUUUUCAAGUACGCACUAAUGGCAAGGAACCUUGACUGUUGCCAAUGUAUCAGAAAAUUAUGGACAAUUAAGUACAUUUCCACAAGGGAGCUUAACCAAGAUUUUUCUUGUUCUCAACUUUGUGCUUUAAUAUAUUCAUCAGAGUACUUAUAAAACAUGGCAGAUGACUAAUUAUAUAAGGCUAAAUCUACAUUUGUCCCUGCUGAACUCAUUUUCCCCAUUUCUACCCCAUUUCAAUAACCAUAAAACAUUCAAUUUCUUGAUUAAAUGUUUUUUUUAAUUCUGCCAGGGACUCAUGCUCCCACUUCAAUCUCAAUAAUGUCAAGUACAUUUGAUGGCUUUGUGGCUUCCAGCAUAAUCCUAUUCAUUCCCUUCCAAAUGCUUGUUUACUCUUGAACAAGGCAGCCUUUGCCAUUCAUAAGCAGAUCGUGGGUAAUUAUGUCAAUCUGGAGGCUCAGGGUGAUGCUAGCCUUCUGCUAAAUGAAGCUUCCCCACCUAACUAUAUCUCCACUAUUAUCCCACUCAGACCAACAUCUCAGGGUUUGUGGCCUUAAUUUCUGUUCCCCUACUUCUUUGGCACUUCCUUUUUCUUUGAGCAUACCUUCUUCCAUCUCCUUAUAGGAUUUCCUGCCCAUGUUCAGAGCCAUUCUCUUGAAUCUGCCAUUUCAAAUGGCCUCACCACUUCAAUCAUGUCAGUCACAGAUAAGACCAUUACUGAUCACCUCUCCGUGCUUCUCUUUUCAAAUUCCCA